GUUGGAGUCACUUUUGCAAGUUGGAGGAAAGACGACACUAGGGCUGAAGUAUUUCUUUUAGACAGGUGCACGUAUUCGUGGUUUCAGGAGGUGUGGUUUGGACAGCAAGCAUGGGACUGUGUUUCAAAGAUAUUAUGCUAACCGAGGGGGUGGAGUUAGUGCGGCUGUACCGAGCACUCUCAAAGGCACCUGUGGAGCCGAAGCUCCGCCUACGAUACAGGUACACCCCGCCCACUACCAGAGCCAUCAGAACAAGCACCGCCACCAGGACCUGAAUCAACACGUGCAGAUGGUCUACUUCAGCUGCAAGACAGAGAGGAAAAGAAAAGAAAUAGUCAAAUUAAAAAUGACAAGCAACUUA
rnacentral:lncRNA from 1 species